rnacentral:lncRNA from 1 species
CAAUUUCCAAUCAAAACAAAGUAACAAAUUAGCCAAUGUCAACUCUACUGUAAAGAUUCCCAUAUUCAUUCCUGGACAAACUCUUCUACCACCUCCAAAAGGUAAUAAUUCAUAAUUUUGUCCUUUAUAAUCAAUAUUAUUUUCUAUAAACCUUUCUGGGAUAAACUCUUCAGGGUUAACCCAACACUCUGGAUCUCGUCCAAUGGCCCAUACAUUGACAUGAAGAUGAGCCUUUGGAUGUAUAUCAUAACCAUUAAGCUUAAAAUGAGACGUGGUUUCUCUUGGAAUGAGAAGUGGGACUGGUGGGUGCAACCUUAGAACCUCUUUCACUACCAUUUUUAGAUAUGGAAGCCUUUCAAGGUCCGUUUCUUUUACUUGUUCCUUUUUUAUGUAGCUUCUAAUUUGGUCUUGUAGCUUUUUCAUUACUCUAGGCUUUCUAAUUAGCUCUGCCAUUGCCCAAACAAUGGUGUUUGCUCCAGUUUCCACUCCUGCUAUAAAGAUAUCCUAAAAAGAACAACACUUAAAAUGAAACUUGAAUUUUGUUUGAUAGCAAUAAGAUUAAAAAAUGAAAGUUGAAUUUUGUUUGAUAACAAUUAACUUUUUUUUAAAAAAAAAAAAAUUUAAAAGAAUAAUAUUGACACACCCAUUUUUAUGUGUUAGACUCUUUCUAAGCCUACCGAAAAAACAAUCAAAAUAACUUAAAAGUAAAGUAAAGAAUAUCGAAUAGUUUAAUAGGAUGGACAAAGGUAUAGAUGCACCUAAAUCUUUCUAUUUUGAAAAUUAAACUUAUGAACGUUAUUUUAUAUCUUACAUCUUUUUUUUUGUUAUCUAAUAAUUUUUUCACAAAUAUUUCAUAAAACCAUUCAAAGUUCUGAAAACUAAAUACCGCCACGUGCUAGAGACGAUGCGGAACGGCCAACGUCCUCAAAAGAGCUAUUUUUAAAAGAAAAUAGGAGUUUUAAUCUCUUGACACUAGUCUCCUUUUUUUAAAAAAAAAAUUAUGUUUAGACACAUUUAGAUGGGUUGCAGAAAAUAAGUGAUGCAUGCAUAUAAUUAGACACACUUAUGUUUUUUUACGAGGAAAAAAAGACUUAGAUACAACGUCAGAUUGUACCUAUUACAAAAAGAAGAAAAAAAAGAUUAAAAACAAAAAUUCAUAACUUAUGAUUAGACACAUUUAGAUGAGUUGCACAACACUAACUGAUGCAUGCUAAAAAAUAUAGUUGGACGAUGGGUAGGUUGGACCCAUCUAAUUUAUGCAACUUUACUCAAUUAAAAAUUUUAAUGUGACCCAAGUAAUUUUGUGUGUGUGUGUGUGUUUUUUUUUAUUGAAUUGUUAUUUUUUUGCUGUAUAAUAUAUAUAUGACAGCUCGGAGAUAACUACUAAUUGCCAUUUUUCUUUUUGACUUUAGUUAAGAAUUUAAAUGUUUCUAAGGAUGAACUGACCCCUCUAUUAUUGUUCCCAUGUGAAAAAAUCUAACUAAUUUUCAAGAAUGAAAUGAUUAUAAAAUACAGAACCACGUAAUUAAAAUUUUAAAAUAUUUAGCUUAUUACCUUGAUUAUUGCUUUAAUGCAAUCUUGUGUAAGGAUGAGUGCAUCAGAUUGAAAGCCGUCUCUCUUCAUUCUCAACAAAACAUCAACAAUGUUUUCUUCAUUUCCAGAAGUUCCCUUGUCCAUGUUUAUACGAUCAUCGACUACCUUUUGAAAAAAAGCAUCCAUCUCACCAAAGCUCUUCUCCAGCUUCCCAUGAACACCACUGAUUCGAUCAACAAUCCAACCGAAACUCGGAAAGAAAUCGCUAAUUGAGAAGCCUUUAAUGGCGUCAAUUGUUCUGCGCAUAACCUUUUGAAAAUUUUGGUUAUCUAGUUCACC